UACAGAGGGAGCGAGCGUUAUCCGGAAUGGAUUGGGCGUAAAGCGUCUGUAGGUGGUUUAGAAAGUCUACUGUCAAAUACCAAGGCUCAACCUUGGGCAGGCAGUAGAGUACUUUUAGACUAGAGUGUGGUAGAGGUAGAGGGAAUCCCUAGCGUAACAGUGAAAUGUGUAGAGUUUUAGGGAGAACACCAGCGGCGAAGGCGCUCUACUGGG
rnacentral:rRNA from 1 species